rnacentral:rRNA from 1 species
AUUGAACGCUGGCGGCAGGCCUAACACAUGCAAGUCGAACGGUAACAGGAAGCUGCUUGCUGCUUCGCUGACGAGUGGCGGACGGGUGAGUAAUGUCUGGGAAGCUGCCUGAUGGAGGGGGAUAACUACUGGAAACGGUAGCUAAUACCGCAUAAUGUCGCAAGACCAAAGAGGGGGACCUUCGGGCCUCUUGCCAUCGGAUGUGCCCAGAUGGGAUUAGCUUGUUGGUGGGGUAACGGCUCACCAAGGCGACGAUCCCUAGCUGGUCUGAGAGGAUGACCAGCCACACUGGAACUGAGACACGGUCCAGACUCCUACGGGAGGCAGCAGUGGGGAAUAUUGCACAAUGGGCGCAAGCCUGAUGCAGCCAUGCCGCGUGUAUGAAGAAGGCCUUCGGGUUGUAAAGUACUUUCAGCGGGGAGGAAGGGAGUAAAGUUAAUACCUUUGCUCAUUGACGUUACCCGCAGAAGAAGCACCGGCUAACUCCGUG